GGCGAUCAGAUACCGCCCUAGUUCUGACCGUAAACGAUGCCAACUAGCGAUCCGCCAGUCGACUCAUCGCUCUGGUGGGGAGCUUCCCGGAAACGAAAGUCUUCCGGUUCCGGGGGAAGUAUGGUUGCAAAGCUGAAACUUAAAGGAAUUGACGGAAGGGCACCGAGCCAGGAGUGGAGCCUGCGGCUUAAUUUGACUCAACACGGGGAAACUCACCCGGCCCGGACACCGUAAGGAUUGACAGAUUGAUAGCUUUUUCAUGAUUCGGUGGAUGGUGGUGCAUGGCCGUUCUUAGUUCGUGGAGCGAUUUGUCUGGUUUAUUCCGAUAACGAGCGAGACUCUGGCCUACUAAAUAGUUGACGCAUUGCCACUGUGCGCACAACUUCUUAGAGGGAUUUUCGGUGUUUUCAACCGCACGAAAUUGAGCAAUAACAGGUCUGUGAUGCCCUUAGAUGUCCGGGGCUGCACGCGCGCUACACUGGCAAACGCAACGUGCCUGUCCUGCCCCGAAAGGAGCGGGUAAACCCCUGAAAUUUUGCCGUGAUUGGGAUCGGACUUUGCAACUAUUGUCCGUGGACGAGGAAUUCCUUGUAGGGGCGAGUCAUCAACUCGUCCCGAAUACGUCCCUGCCCUUUGUACACCCGCCCCCUGCCGAGUGACCUUCAAAACGGGGCUCUGCGC
rnacentral:rRNA from 1 species